rnacentral:lncRNA from 1 species
CAACAUGAACAUCUGUGCCAGGACUGGAGAAGGAGCUGUGGUGUGCUAGAAAUGGAUGAUGGAGACAGGCAGAAUGAGAAUGGAAGAAAAAUAGAUAGAAAAAUAUAUAAUUGUAUCAAGCCCAUGAAGCUAAGUAAAGCAUGGUGAAGGGAUUAAGGUCAGGGGAGAGUGCUAUUUCAGAUGGCCAAAGGAGAAGAAGGCCUAUCUGCAAAAGUAACACUUGAGUGAAGACCUGAAAGGAAGAAAGGAGCCACAAGAAGAACAGAAGGAAGAGUAUUUCAGGCAGAGGACAAUACAUAUAAAGGCUAAGGUGAGUACAUGCUAGGUGUGUUUGACAAACAAGGAGGUCACUGUGACUGGAGUAUAGUGAGGGAGGCAGAGUGAUUUGAGAUGUCCAAAAGGUAAGUAGGGGGCAGACAGACAGACAAUACCACAGUCCUGGUGGGGCACGGUAAGGAACACUGGAUUUGGAGUGAGAUGUGCAGCAAAUGGUAGGUUCCGAGCAGAGUCAUGUGCUAUGAUCUGACUUGUAUCAAAAUUAAAUGAUUCCUCUGGCUGCUGUGUGGAGAACAGACUACAGAGGCCAGGAGUGAAAAAUGAAGACACCAACUAAAAGGCUACUGCAACUGACCAGGCAAGAGCUGUUGCAGGCCUGGAAUAGAACGGUGGUGGUGGGGUGGUGAGAAAUGGUUGAGAUUCCUGAUAUAUUCUCUAAGUUUCAGUGCAAAGACAGGAUGUGAAAGCAGGGAGAGAAUUAAAGACAUCUCCAAGGCUUCUGGUCCAAGCAACUAGAAAAAUGGAAUUGUUAUGAACUGAAAUGAGGCUGACUGAGAAACAGAUAAAGGAGUAAAAUUACUGACAUGCUGAAGAGCCAACUCGACGAAACAUGCAAAGAAAUUCUAGGAAUGCAGCUUGAUCAACAGUGUUCCAAAGAAACAUCAACAUAAAACUAUUUGUGAAGAAACAAAUACAAUGUUUAAAGAAGGUAUCUGAAGGAAACCACGCUCCUUGGAGAAAUGGUGUUUCCAAGUCUUGGCAGAAAAAUACAAGGUGAAAGGGGAACAUCUUACUGUGUCAGAAAGCAAAAAAGCUAUCAAAGAUUAGGUUGUGUCAAAGGAUGUAGAAGUCAGCUUAACGGUUUCCCACUGAUCAAAGAUGAACAACUUGGGCAUCAAAGAGAAUGGCAGAUUGAAACACAAACAUUAUAAAAAUUCAAGGCUGGGUGUGGUGGCCUCAUACCUGUAAUCCCAGC